rnacentral:rRNA from 1 species
UACGAAGGGGGCUAGCGUUGCUCGGAAUGACUGGGCGUAAAGGGCGCGUAGGCGGCUCAUACAGUCAGGCGUGAAAUUCCUGGGCUCAACCUGGGGACUGCGCUUGAGACGUGUGGGCUUGAGUGGGGAAGAGGGUCGUGGAAUUCCCAGUGUAGAGGUGAAAUUCGUAGAUAUUGGGAAGAACACCCGUGGCGAAGGCGGCUCUCUGGAACGCAACUGACGCUGAGACGCGAAAGCGUGGGGAGCAAACAGG